rnacentral:lncRNA from 1 species
UUGCCCCCAUCUAGUCCUAUAUAUUAUAUAUAUAACCUAACAUAACGAAACCUAACCACCGUGACAUAAUCUAAAUUUGGUUUAAAAUGAGAUCGGAUCAAAUAGGGUCAAAGAAAUAAGAUGGAUUGAAUUGGACUGGGUCAGAGUUGGGAGAUAUAACCCUCAAUGCUACCUAACCUGCCCAAAUAAUGGAGCUCUUCCUAGCAUUUUGUCACGAACUUGAAAUGAUAUUGAACACACCCUAAAUCAUCUGCAAGGAGAAACUAAUCCAGUGUAGGGCAACUCUAGCACCUAAGGACAUUCUACUCCAUUAGCAUCCUUUAAAAGCAAAUUAGACUAAGAUUGAACUAAAUUAGAAUUAGCUGUUAGCCGUCAACCUGUAUGAUCUGAACCACCCAAGCAGCUAACCUGCUCAGUAUGGAUGAGAUGGCUGUCA